UAAAAUUUUCCAAAGAUAUUCCAAAGGAAGCUUUUGCGAUUUCAUCCGUGGAAUUUUUCGCUAGUUUUUCCUAUUCCGCUUUCUUUUGCUAUGGGGUAGGAUUGCAUAUGGUAAUACUAUUUCCUAUUGUCAAUUGAACUUCCUUUUCUUCGUGCUUUUCACACAAGCAAGAUGCAAAUCUUCGUGAAAACACGGGAAAAACAAUCACCCUCGAGGUGGAGCCUUCUGAUACCAUCGAAAAUGUUAAAGCUAAAAUUCAGGAUAAAGAGGGCAUCCCACCAGAUCAGCAACGUUUAAUGAUCACCAGAUCAGCAACGUUUUGGAGCUCUCUGACGUCGUUUGUCUUGCCUCUGCUGAGGAGUCAAUUUGAUCCUCUUGAUCAAAUCACAAGAAAUCACAAGGAGGUCCUGGGGAAAACUGCGGCGCGGGUGUUUUUAUGGCUGCCCAUGAGGAUCGUCAUUACUGUGGCAAAUGCAGUAUUACAUUUGUCUUCAAACAAGAUGAAAAGUGAGAUUAAAGACAAAGAGUGUGUUUGUAAAAUGCGCAAUAAAUGGCGUCUUUAAAAAACGAACUAUGGCUUUUUAGCGAA